rnacentral:rRNA from 1 species
UACCAGCUCUCCGAGUGGUAGGGAUGUUUAUUGGGCUUAAAGCGUCCGUAGCCGGCUUAGCAAGUCUCCUGUUAAAUUCAGCGACCUAAUCGUUGAGCCGCGGGAGAUACUACUAGGCUAGGAGGCGGGAGAGGUCAACGGUACUUCCGGGGUAGGGGUGAAAUCCUAUAAUCCCGGGAGGACCACCAGUGGCGAAGGCUGUUGACUAGAACGCGCUCGACGGUAAGGGACGAAAGCUGGGGGAGCGAACCGGAUUAGAUACCCGGGUAGUCCCAGCUGUAAACGAUGCGAGCUAGGUGUUGGGGUGGCUACGUGCCACUUCAGUGCCGCAGGGAAGCCAUUAAGCUCGCCGCCUGGGGAGUACGGCCGCAAGGCUAGAAACUUAAAGGAAUUGGCGGGGGAGCACCACAAGGCGUGAAGCUUGCGGUUC